UAAUUAAAAGCUUAGGUUAAACCAAACCAGGGGCCUUCAAAGCCCCAAACAAGGGCACCCAUUCCCUUAGCUUUUG
rnacentral:tRNA from 1 species